rnacentral:ribozyme from 14 species
UUUUUUUUUUUUUUUUUUUUUUUUUUUUUUUUUUGGGGGAAAAAAAAAAAAAAAAAAAUUACCUAACAAUCUUUUUUUCGUAUU